rnacentral:lncRNA from 1 species
AGCACACACACUAAGCGCGUUAAACUCUCUAUAAAGGCAUUUGCUUGGUAUUGGGUUUCAAUAUCUAGUUUUGUACCCAGCUCUCUUGAGGGUUGUGGAGUGUAGCUAGUAUUGAACAUGGAGAUCAAUUAUGCUCUGGCAUUGCUCUUAGUCCUCAUUCUCAACUUGGGUAGUUUGCUCACUUCUCUUGCUAACUCCUAUUGCCCACCACCAACAUACCCUCCAGUUCCUCACUUGCCACCCAAACACCCUCCCCAUGUAACUCCACCCUUCCACCCUAAACCACCAAAGAAGCCACCACCAUAUGUCAAACCACCUCAUGCAAAGCCUCCUCCUCAUGUACCAAUCAAACCCCCUCAUGUUAAACCACCCAUUGUAAAACCACCUCCUUAUCCGAAACCUCCAGUUGCCAAACCACCUCCCCAUCCCAAACCUCCUGUUGUCAAACCACCUCCCCAUCCCAAACCUCCUGUUGUCAAACCACCUCCCCAUCCCAAACCUCCUGUUGUCAAACCACCUCCCUAUCCCAAACCUCCUGUUGUCAAACCACCUCACCUAUCCCAAACCUCCUGUUGUCAAACCACCCUCCCUAUCCCAAACCUCCUGUUGUCAAACCACCUCCCUAUCCCAAACCUCCUGUUGUCAAACCACCUCACCAUCCCAAGCCUCCUGUUGUCAAACCACCUCCCCAUCCCAAACCUCCUGUUGUCAAGCCUCCAGUUGUCAAACCACCUCCCCAUCCCAAACCACCAGUUGUACUGCCUCCACCAUAUACCCCGAAGCCCCGGUUGUACUGCCUUCCACCAUAUACCCCGAAGCCCCCGGUUGUGCUGCCUCCACCAUAUACCCCGAAGCCCCCGGUUGUGGCCUCCACCAUAUCCCCCGAACCCCCCCGGUGUAUGUGCUGCCUCCACCAUAUACCCCGAAGCCCCCGGUUGUACUGCCUCCACCAUAUACCCCGAAGCCCCCGGUUGUACUGCCUCCACCAUAUACCCCGAAGCCCCCGGUUGUACUGCCUCCACCAUAUACCCCGAAGCCCCCGGUUGUACUGCCUCCACCAUAUACCCCGAAGCCCCCAGUUGUACUGCCUCCACCAUAUACCCCCAAGCCCCCAGUUGUACUGCCUCCACCAUAUACCCCCAAGCCCCCAGUUGUACUGCCUCCACCUUCACCACCUGUUGUAGUGCCAAGCCCACCAUCAACACCAACCCCAACCCCAGUUGUCCCAGUGAAGCCUCCUCCACCCACUGAAACACCAUGCCCUCCUCCACCACCAAAGGUAGUACCACCCCCAACAUCACCACCUCCAAAGUCGCCACCGAAGGACACGUGCCCCAUCGACACCUUAAAGUUGGGAGCUUGUGUAGAUGUGCUGGGUGGACUUAUCCAC